AACGAACGCUGGCGGCAGGCUUAACACAUGCAAGUCGAACGCCCCGCAAGGGGAGUGGCAGACGGGUGAGUAACGCGUGGGAACGUACCUUUCGCUUCGGAAUAGUCCCGGGAAACUGGGUUUAAGACCGGAUACGCCGUAUUGGGAAAGAUUUAUCGGCGAAAGAUCGGCCCGCGUUGGAUUAGCUAGUUGGUGGUGUAAUGGACCACCAAGGCGACGAUCCAUAGCUGGUCUGAGAGGAUGAUCAGCCACGCUGGGACUGAGACACGGCCCAGACUCCUACGGGAGGCAGCAGUGGGGAAUCUUGGACAAUGGGCGCAAGCCUGAUCCAGCCAUGCCGCGUGAGUGAAGAAGGCCUUAGGGUUGUAAAACUCUUUCGCCGGAGAAGAUAAUGACGGUAUCCGGAGAAGAAGCCCCGGCUAACUUCGUGCCAGCAGCCGCCGUAACAC
rnacentral:rRNA from 1 species